rnacentral:rRNA from 1 species
GACGAACGCUGGCGGCGUGCUUAACACAUGCAAGUCGAACGGAAAGGCCUCUUUCGGGUGGUACUCGAGUGGCGAACGGGUGAGUAACACGUGAGUAACCUGCCCUUUACUUUUUGGUAACUUCUGGAAACUGGGGCUAUUACCGCAUAUGGGCUCCUGCGGCAUGGUGGGGGUGGGGGAGUUUCGGCGGUUGGGGGUGGACUCGCGGCGUUUCAGCUUUUUGGUGGGGGGGUGGCGUACCCAGGCCUUGUCGGGUAUCCGGCCUCGGAGGGUGAACGGCCCCAUUGGGACUGAGAGACGGCCCAGACGCCUACGGGAGGCAGGAGGGGGGAAUACUGAACCAUGGGUGGAAGCCUGAUGAAGCAACGCCGGGGGCGGGAAGACGGCCUUCGGGUUGUAAAACGGCUUCGCUCAGGACCAAGGUUUGUGUGACGGUAGUGGGUAAAGAAGCACCGGCUAACUACGUG